UCCAGUAAAGGGUAAACCUGGACGAAAGACAGGGGCACAAAGUCUCGGAUCUAAUGUAGAAAUACUAUGAUGGCCGGACUGCCUGG
rfam:Paenibacillus sp. FSL R7-0331, complete genome.